ACCUAGCAAAUGCGGUGGCUUUCUGUAAAUUUCCUCCCUAUCCAAUCAAAACCCAUCCAAACCCUCGCUCGAUCCCCUCUCGCCCCACCCGCCGGCGGCGCCACCGCCAGAGCCACCGGCUCCCCCCCACCUCUGAUCCGGCGCUGCCGCGCCCUCUCGUCUCCUCCUUGUCCCAGAUCGGGAGCAGCUGAGCUCGGCGGAGGAGCAGCAGCAGCGACAUCUCAAGUUAGCAGUACAGGCAGUAUGGAUGGAACAAUGCAUGCUCCAAGCGGCGCCGAGCCACGUGUUGCUGCCCACUCUAGCGUGAACGGCAACGGCGCUGCCAGGCGCUUGCAUGAUGAAUGGCUGGAAGAGUAUGAAGCAGGUGUUUUCAUGAAGCUGAAGGACCUCGGUGACGGCACCCGAGAGCUGAAGAGGGUUCGGUUCAGCAAAAGGCGCUUUGGGGAGCAUCAGGCUGAGAAUUGGUGGAAAGAGAACCGCGAGAAGGUUUACGAGCGAUACAAUAUAAGGACCUCCCAACGAGCGUCGUCAGCAGCCCCAACCCACUCGGCCUAAUAACGUACCUUCCUGUUUCUUCACGCACAAACUGCAAGGCCAACCAUCAACGAGCAGCAGCAAAUCGUGAACGAAAUUAAGGGUUAUGUCAUAUGUGUACUGGGGGUGCAGACCGCCAUAUGUGAUCUUUAUCGUCUCUAGAUACUGUGGUAUUGGUAAGACUGUGACUUCGGUCCUGCAGGGGUACCUGGAUAUAUAUGCUCAACGUUUGAUCCAAUAUGAGGAAUUUUGACUUAGGAUUUCAAGUAAUUGGGAUCAAAGGCAUGGUACACUCUACCCUGUAUGUAUGGAUCACAGUAACUAGUGUAUGUCAAUUUAGAAGGUCCAGGUGUUGUCAUUUAUUCUUUUCAUAUAAGACCGGAUCCUCAUUGUUUUUCAGUUUUGGUCGCCGAUUUCUGCAUGUGCCGCUGUUGAAGAAAUAAAUACUCCUUCCAUGUCGCAAUACAAGUCGUUUUGGACAUUGACAUGGCUUCCAAGUUGGCAUGACGACUAGAGUAUGGAGUAUCUGAAAGUUGAAGUUAUGUAGCAGUAACAAGAAAAGAAGGAGAAAUUGGAAGACGAAACUAAGCAAGAAAAUUCUCCAGGAGCAUGAUCACCGAGUCACUCACUGACAGUUCAGGCUUCAUAGUUCAUUCCAUCUUCAGAAUGGGUUUCUUUGGAUUUCUAGCAAGCUGGGUCCGGAACUGUUCCUUGAGCCGUGCUUCCCUCUCUAACUCUGUACCCGCACGGUCCAUCUUGAAAUGAACGCUAAGCAAUACUUCCUUGA